ACUGACAGCUUCAAGCAACAAGUUGAAUGCAAAGAGCUUUUCCAACUCCAGACCCUGCUAGAAGCCUCUGCAUCUCAGGUCAGGAUCAAUGACGAGGCAGAACCUUGGCGAUGCUGCUGGCAUGCCGGCCACAGGACAGACCUUCGACAGAAAACCCCUUGGAAAGUCAAAGCACAGCUCAGCCGGGCUCAUCCACCCCUGGGACACACACGGAACCGCGAAGAUUAAAAUGGUAAAACUCUACAAGCUCCAGCAGCAAAGGGGCUCCUGAAGCCCCAGCACGCCCUGCACAGAGACUGUGGGCAGAAAGCAAGCAGAAAAGCACAGCGGAGGGCUCCGUGGGCACGAAGGACAAGCGCGUUGUAUACUCACAGCCACGUCUGGACCGGACCUGCCCUUUCGUGCUGCCAUAGUCCGGCACUUCAGCUGAAACCUGAGCCUGGUGUCCCCUCUCUCCCUCCUUGGUUACCUACUCCCCAGCUUUGAGAGAGCCAACAGGAUAUUUAAUACAAGCUGCCUCCAGAAAGCAGAUGACUGCUGCCAAGGGCAGGGAGCGGGUCAGAGCUGCAGGUACCAGCUCGGGCGCAGCAGAGGAAGAGCAGCCCCACAGCCGUGCCCCGGAGCCCCGCGUUUCACAGAUGUAUCGCGCAGCCAGAGCUGCCCUGCAAUUGCAACACGCAGCGCUACAGGGAAUGCCCGGAGCCUCGGUCCUCAGCCACAUCAUCCAGCCCCUACCUUUGCCCUUUGCUGCUC